AACUUUGCACCUUGUCAGUAUCAUAGCCAAUGAGGUUUAUCCAAGGCAUGAUUAUUGCUAACUGAAAACUUUUCCCAAUACCCUGCCAUGAUGACUUUAAAUACAAUCAGCAUUGGCAAUUUUUGACGGUCUCUAUGGAGA
ensembl:snRNA U4 U4 spliceosomal RNA